rnacentral:misc_RNA from 1 species
GAACAACCUUCGCUUCCCGGCAUGAUGAUAACUUACCAGUCUUUUUUUAUCAUCUUCAUCAUUAUCAUGUUCUUCCAAGUUAUGAUCAAACAUUAAAUGGACUCCACACUUAUGGACUUCACAGUACAUGCGGGCUUCACCUUUGAGUAAGGCCUCUCUAUUGAAGAAGCAUUUGAUGAAGAAUUGAAAUGAGGCCUCCUUGAUGCAGAAUUUCUUGGAAUUGAGAUGAAUUGUGGAAUACCGUAGGGAGAUGUGAUGUAUCUUGACUAAUAGGCAUUCAGAAUACAUUUUGAGACUAUCUCCAGACUCAGUUAUGAAAUGGGAUUCACAUAAAAGAGACAUAACAGUCUUGAUGAAAUUACGAGUGGUUUAAUUUCUUGCCAACAUCAUUG